rnacentral:rRNA from 1 species
UACGAAGGGUGCAAACGUUGCUCGGAAUUAUUGGGCGUAAAGCGCACGUAGGCGGCUUUGCAAGUCGGAUGUGAAAUCCCUCGGCUUAACCAAGGAAGUGCAUCCGAAACUGCAGAGCUUGAGUACUUAAGAGGAUCGCGGAAUUCCCGGUGUAGAGGUGAAAUUCGUAGAUAUCGGGAGGAACACCAGUGGCGAAGGCGGCGAUCUGGGUUGAUACUGACGCUGAGGUGCGAAAGCGUGGGGAGCAAACAGG